UCUAAGUGGGACGGGUAUACCCACGGCUGGAGCAGGGCCAGCAGCCCUGGGGCCUGUGGAGGGUAGGGAAGCUUCACACUGCCCAUCGAGCAGCCUUAAGUGAAUCCCCAGGAAGCCCCUUCACCCCAUGGGUGAUUCAGAACCAACUUUCCUUUGGAGAACAGCUCUUUAGACGUUAAGGGUUUUUUCCCAACGCCAUGAAGUGCCACAGAGCAGCAGGACGUGGGGGAAGGGGGUUUCCAGCAGCUGGCUGGCCGGCAAUCGGUCUUCCCCUAGAGGUCACCCGCAGGCAGGACACUACCACCUGCCUUUGCUGGCCCCGCCCUCCGGCUAGAGUCAGGACGCUUGGGCCUGUUGGCAUAUCCACUGGACCCUGCAAGGCUUCGCUUCACGGCUACCGAGUGGAACUCUCCCGAGGCCCUGGGGAAAACACUGACAGCAGCCGGUCUUUGCAGGUCACUUCCAACCGCAGAGCAGGUGAUAUACAGACACGCUCUGGGGGCACCAGAGAUGUGGCCCCAGCCUCUCAACCAGCCCCAGGCGACCCCUGGGUUUGAACCUGGGCUGGGAAUGCAAGGAGGGAGGAGCUGUCACCCAGCGGGCCUCAGACAUAUAAAUGCCCACGAGGCCUUAGAUCCGGGUGAGGCGGGGGCAUGGGAGGGCAGCUCUGCCCUGGGCAGUGGCCUCCUCCUUCUGUUGGCAUAGCCCCAACCCUUGGCACGCGGUGGCGGAAGGGGGUUCCUUGUUCAUUCUUUCUCGACUCAACUUGGUUUUCCUCUCAAGACCCAGAAGUUCCCGGCCGUUUCUGGGUAUGGUUUAAGCCGGAUGGUCAGAUUUUGAGAACCUGUGAUCCUGUUUCCAGGGAUUUCAGGGUUUCACGCUGGUGGACAUUGGUAUUUCUGAGUCACGUCCACCCCCGCACUUCACCUGACUCUGUCCUCGGUGGGGAGCCUUCCUGCUUCCCUUGGCCCAGCCUGGCAACAAUGUGGCUGCUCACUAUGCUUGUCUUGCGAGGUAGGGCUUGGCUGUCCCACUCCACAGAUGCAGAGCCUGAGGCUUGGAUGGGCAGCCACCUGCCCAACAGGGAAAAGAUGCAGAAUGUGGAUCACGCUCCCUGUACCCGGCAAGGGUAGGGCAGGGACACUUCCUGAUGGUGCCAACUGCCCCUUAGCAGUUAUUCCCGGGUUGUAUGAGCCCCGACAACCUCUUAGGAACCUGGGGAUGGGUGGGAACCUGGCGCGGGGAGGAGGGAGAGGGAGGGGCUCCAGCCACCACACCCCUGCCAAGCAGCUGCGCCGGGAUGAGGGGUCAUUGGCUAGGAACCUUCCCAUGCCAGGCCACGGCCUCCUGCCACAGCCCCCAGGAGCAGCACGCUACAUUCUUGGUAACUUUUUUUCUCUUUUAUUGCCAAGUUUAAAUUUACAAGGAAGUUCCAGUUUUCAUUUCCACCCUCGUGUUCAGUACCCACGAAGCAUGAGUCACGCUAGUGAAAGCAGGUACUUCCCUAGAGUGGUCCCGAGGCUCAGAGGCAUCGAGGUUUUCUAACCCUCGGUUCUCACUGGGACAUAAAUUAUUUACAUAUUUUUAGCUCAAGGAAACAUAAGGAACUCGUACAGUGUAUGCCCAAUGUCAAGAUGACUAAAUUAAAUGCUUCAGAUUUAUUUAUUGCAUCUAGACAAGAAGAUCAAAAUCAGUUCACCCCAUGCCUUUUUUAAAAACAGUGCAUCUCAGAGACGUUAGAGGAACCUAGCGCAUGUCUGGCAGGGCUGCGCUUCUUCACCUGCCCCUUGAGUUGCUUGUGAACGCAAGUGUCUGGGUAGUGGGAGGCUGCCAAGGCUCCGGGAGAGGGACCGGGCUGGGACGGUGGCAGAGGAGGGGCUGCUCACGGAGGCCCCUCUUCCCGAUCCCACGCGAUGGUGAAGGCUGGCCCUUCCUGCCUGGGGGAGCACCUCAGCUGGCCCCAUCUGACCUGCUGGGGCAGCUACCUCGCAUGUCCACAAAGGGACGAGCACACCUCCACAACAACAUUCAAAGCCAAGGUUUGGGAGUUCCUGCGGCCAGCCCUGCUCCCUGACUUGGCAAACCCAGCCGGAGGUGCACAGGGGAAGGGUGGACCAGGGCCUGGGCCAUAACUCUAAGUGCUCUCUGCAGGGACUCGGGGGGCGGGCUGGAUGGGUCUGUGGGGGCUGACCUCAGACCUCUGAGGCUAUGACCUGAGUGUCAGAAGCCACAGCCCCCGCUGUGGGCCUUCCCACACUCUUGGCUCUUCCUCUGGAUGACAGGGACCCAGCGUGUCCUGUCUGGACUGGCCUGUCUGGGGGCGCCCCAGCUAUGAGGUUUGUGGGGAGCUCCUGAAGACACAGCUGUGCCCACUGCCGCUGAGACCUGGGUGAGGUGGGGUCCUUUGAAGCCAAAAUGGCUGGUGGCCUCCAAUGGGCUCCCAGACCUCCUGACAUAAGCAAAGCUUCUGGGAGCCCUGCUUAUAGGAAAUCCUCACCCCACACACCUGGAGGUGUCCCCCAGAGGCAAGUCGCCAGCCCCAGCUGAAAGAGGCCCCUGAGAGUGACCCUGCAAGCCCGCACAGGGACUGCCCUGUUCUUGGCCAGGGAUGCAGGGUAGAAGCCCUGCCCUGAGCAGUGUCUUUUAUCCUCCGCUGGUCCUCCCGGGCACCUUUUAUCCUCUGUUGGUUCUCCCGGGCAUGCUGUCCAGCCCUGGCCAAGACCAUCCUCCUUCAGUGCUCAGUGGUCACAAGGCCAGUUGGAGCCCAGAGACUUCUGACAGCAGGCUGGUGGCCCACCCGUGUGGCAUGGAGUGAGCUGCAGGCUAUUCCUCCCGGUCACGCCUUGGGGCGGGGCAGCCACUUGCCUUCUCUAGUUUCUGCUGCCCCACAGACAGAGUCAUUUCAAAACCAGAAGUGCACGUCUCAGUGGCUAGCCAGCUCCGGCCAGGGCCAGCUUGAUCCUCUCCACCCCUCUUGCUCUUAAAAAAUUAAGCAACACACAGGCUGCCUGCUGGGUGUCGCGUGUCCCGUCUCCUGAUGCUGUGGUCCUUCUCCCCAUGAUGGUCUUCCCCCCACCCUACCCUGCCUUCCUUCUCUUCCAGGGAUUCUGCAGAUGGCCACGGUGAUAGCGGUUUGUCCUUCCUUGGGGUUUCUGCCCAUGUGGCCCCCUUUCUGAGCUGUGCCUUUUCUGUAUUGAAGCAAAGGUCCUUGUACCUGCAGCCAUGAAGGCUGGGUGGGCACAGCUACCCGGAGGGCUUCUGAUGACCCAUGAAGGCUGGGUGGGCAGAGCUACCUGGAGGGCUUCUGAGGACUGAGGCCUGUCCCCAUGGGCGCCACUCCCCCUCCUUGGCAGGACUGUGUUUCCUUCAUGAGGUUGAAAACUGCCCUCUGCAGGCCUUGCCGGGACAGCUGGCUUGGCCGAGGAGACAAUGUUCCUCUAAAAUGCAGGUGGCAAAAGCACAGCUCCCGAGAUGACCCAUGAUGACCUAACACCCCUGGUGGGCACAUCUGCCGGCAGGUCUGGAGGAAAGUUGUGGAAGGUCUUACCAGUGACCAGAGAGGGUCGGGAGUCUUCACGGUCCCAAGUGGUUCCUUCUUAGAGAUGGCAACACUGAAGAAGGUGCUGGAAGCUGUCUCUGUUUGGUUUUGGUGAAGACAAGUGAGGAAGCGUCCUGAGUGGGGAGCUGGCUACAUUCUUCCUUUUCCUGGAGAAAUCUUUCCAUGAUGGGAGGCCUCUCGGCUGCUAUGGCAGAAAACUGUUCAGCCUUCUCAGCUCUGUGUGUACCUGAGAAUAUACGUAUCUCCCUUGUUUUUGUUUAAAAAAUAAUCUAAACUUUCCAGGAAGGUACUUCAUUAUUCCACAGGCUUGCAGAGUUAGUGAGUAACAAA